rnacentral:piRNA from 1 species
UAAGAUAAAUUUUGAAGGCGGAUAUGGC